rnacentral:rRNA from 1 species
UUAAGCGACUAAGCGUACACGGUGGAUGCCCUGGCAGUCAGAGGCGAUGAAGGGCGUGCUAAUCUGCGAUAAGCGCCGGUAAGGUGAUAUGAACCGUUAUAACCGGCGAUACCCGAAUGGGGAAACCCAGUGUGACUCGUCACACUAUCAUUAACUGAAUCCAUAGGUUAAUGAGGCGAACCGGGGGAACUGAAACAUCUAAGUACCCCGAGGAAAAGAAAUCAACCGAGAUUCCCCCAGUAGCGGCGAGCGAACGGGGAGGAGCCCAGAGCCUGAAUCAGCAUGUGUGUUAGUGGAAGCGUCUGGAAAGGCGCGCGAUACAGGGUGACAGCCCCGUACACAAAAGCGCAUGUGCUGUGAGCUCGAUGAGUAGGGCGGGACACGUGGUAUCCUGUCUGAAUAUGGGGGGACCAUCCUCCAAGGCUAAAUACUCCUGACUGACCGAUAGUGAACCAGUACCGUGAGGGAAAGGCGAAAAGAACCCCGGCGAGGGGAGUGAAAAAGAACCUGAAACCGUGUACGUACAAGCAGUGGGAGCACCCUUUGGGGUGUGACUGCGUACCUUUUGUAUAAUGGGUCAGCGACUUAUAUUCUGUAGCAAGGUUAACCGUAUAGGGGAGCCGGAGGGAAACCGAGUCUUAAUUGGGCGUUAAGUUGCAGGGUAUAGACCCGAAACCCGGUGAUCUAGCCAUGGGCAGGUUGAAGGUUGGGUAACACUAACUGGAGGACCGAACCGACUAAUGUUGAAAAAUUAGCGGAUGACCUGUGGCUGGGGGUGAAAGGCCAAUCAAACCGGGAGAUAGCUGGUUCUCCCCGAAAGCUAUUUAGGUAGCGCCUCGUGAAUUCAUCUCCGGGGGUAGAGCACUGUUUCGGCUAGGGGGCCAUCCCGGCUUACCAACCCGAUGCAAACUGCGAAUACCGGAGAAUGUUAUCACGGGAGACACACGGCGGGUGCUAACGUCCGUCGUGAAGAGGGAAACAACCCAGACCGCCAGCUAAGGUCCCAAAGUCAUGGUUAAGUGGGAAACGAUGUGGGAAGGCCCAGACAGCCAGGAUGUUGGCUUAGAAGCAGCCAUCAUUUAAAGAAAGCGUAAUAGCUCACUGGUCGAGUCGGCCUGCGCGGAAGAUGUAACGGGGCUAAACCAUGCACCGAAGCUGCGGCAGCGAACGUAUCACUUAAAGCGAUUCAGCGGAUGACGAUUGACGGAGCGAAGCGACGUCAAAGCGUAUACAAAGUCGAGUCGGUUUAAGGAUACGUUCGUUGGGUAGGGGAGCGUUCUGUAAGCCUGCGAAGGUGGCCUGUGAGGGUUGCUGGAGGUAUCAGAAGUGCGAAUGCUGACAUAAGUAACGAUAAAGCGGGUGAAAAGCCCGCUCGCCGGAAGACCAAGGGUUCCUGUCCAACGUUAAUCGGGGCAGGGUGAGUCGACCCCUAAGGCGAGGCCGAAAGGCGUAGUCGAUGGGAAACGGGUUAAUAUUCCCGUACUUGGUGUUACUGCGAAGGGGGGACGGAGAAGGCUAUGUUGGCCGGGCGACGGUUGUCCCGGUUUAAGCGUGUAGGUGUGUGUUCCAGGUAAAUCCGGUUCACUUUAACACUGAGGCGUGACGACGAGGCACUACGGUGCUGAAGCAACAAAUGCCCUGCUUCCAGGAAAAGCCUCUAAGCAUCAGGUAACAUCAAAUCGUACCCCAAACCGACACAGGUGGUCAGGUAGAGAAUACCAAGGCGCUUGAGAGAACUCGGGUGAAGGAACUAGGCAAAAUGGUGCCGUAACUUCGGGAGAAGGCACGCUGACAUGUAGGUGAAGUGAUUUACUCACGGAGCUGAAGUCAGUCGAAGAUACCAGCUGGCUGCAACUGUUUAUUAAAAACACAGCACUGUGCAAACACGAAAGUGGACGUAUACGGUGUGACGCCUGCCCGGUGCCGGAAGGUUAAUUGAUGGGGUCAGCGCAAGCGAAGCUCCUGAUCGAAGCCCCGGUAAACGGCGGCCGUAACUAUAACGGUCCUAAGGUAGCGAAAUUCCUUGUCGGGUAAGUUCCGACCUGCACGAAUGGCGUAAUGAUGGCCAGGCUGUCUCCACCCGAGACUCAGUGAAAUUGAACUCGCUGUGAAGAUGCAGUGUACCCGCGGCAAGACGGAAAGACCCCGUGAACCUUUACUAUAGCUUGACACUGAACAUUGAGCCUUGAUGUGUAGGAUAGGUGGGAGGCUUUGAAGUGUGGACGCCAGUCUGCAUGGAGCCGACCUUGAAAUACCACCCUUUAAUGUUUGAUGUUCUAACGUGGACCCGUAAUCCGGGUUGCGGACAGUGUCUGGUGGGUAGUUUGACUGGGGCGGUCUCCUCCUAAAGAGUAACGGAGGAGCACGAAGGUUGGCUAAUCCUGGUCGGACAUCAGGAGGUUAGUGCAAUGGCAUAAGCCAGCUUGACUGCGAGCGUGACGGCGCGAGCAGGUGCGAAAGCAGGUCAUAGUGAUCCGGUGGUUCUGAAUGGAAGGGCCAUCGCUCAACGGAUAAAAGGUACUCCGGGGAUAACAGGCUGAUACCGCCCAAGAGUUCAUAUCGACGGCGGUGUUUGGCACCUCGAUGUCGGCUCAUCACAUCCUGGGGCUGAAGUAGGUCCCAAGGGUAUGGCUGUUCGCCAUUUAAAGUGGUACGCGAGCUGGGUUUAGAACGUCGUGAGACAGUUCGGUCCCUAUCUGCCGUGGGCGCUGGAGAACUGAGGGGGGCUGCUCCUAGUACGAGAGGACCGGAGUGGACGCAUCACUGGUGUUCGGGUUGUCAUGCCAAUGGCACUGCCCGGUAGCUAAAUGCGGAAGAGAUAAGUGCUGAAAGCAUCUAAGCACGAAACUUGCCCCGAGAUGAGUUCUCCCUGAGACUUAGAGUCUCCUGAAGGAACGUUGAAGACGACGACGUUGAUAGGCCGGGUGUGUAAGCGCAGCGAUGCGUUGAGCUAACCGGUACUAAUGAACCGUGAGGCUUAACCUU